CCUGUCUAUCUGCAUGAGGAUGUCUCUGGAUUUUUCAGAACCUGCACUGACGAAUCUGAUGAGUUGGAGCUUGAUGGUGUUGAAGUGGCCCUCUUCACUGUCAUCAGUGACCAUGACACAACAAGUCCAGUUCACUACCAACCUGUGAAAAUCUCUGUCGUCAUUGAAAGUGAUGCCGUGGUCAGUCUCCCCAGAUUUGGUGAAGCCUUCCUGGUAAUGUUUGGACAGAUCUAUGCACUUCACCUCAGCUACCCCACAGCCCUGACCCACACUUUAGAAUUUACUCAAAAUAUUUCACUUGGUCUAGAAAGUGGUAAACUGUCACCCAGGUUACAGACCCUCAAGAAUGACUUGGUUAUGUAGGAAUUCAUCUGAAAGAAGGAUGCAGGGUAAAGCAUUAUAAGAGGCUAGUUCAAAGUUCUCUCCUUUUAUCUAAAUAAUGCCUCAAAACGUUAUUGCAUUACUCUACAGGUGUUCAGCCAAUAGGUCCAAACUAUACAACGUGCCUUUGUUCUCAUUAACAUAAUGCAAAGCAACACUAAUGUUUUGUAUGUUUUAAUGUUUUUCGUAAUACUAUUUCUAAAACAUUGUGGGCUGCGCAAGAUGACCUAAAUUUCACUGUUUGAUACUGGUUAACGUAAAACAAAUAGCAUUGUAAUUCACUCAAAUUGCUGCCCCAGCACAUUUUGAUAUUAUUUAUUAUUAUUUGGCAUUAUUUUUUAUUACUCUGACAGUUUUCCUGACUAAACAAUUUUUGGUCUACUUAUUUUAAUUUAUAAAUGUUUUUGUUAAUUAUUUUUAAUUUAUUUAAUU